AAAAAAAAAAUAAUCUGACUUAGGUUAAAUCUAAAAAAGGGACACUAAGAUCUUAUUAGAAAUAGAUAAAAGAGGAUGAUCUUUCCCAUCUUUCCUGAGUCCUUUACUUUGUAUAGUGCUAAUAAAAGAUAAUGAACAAUCACUUAAGAGAUCAACAAUGUGUUUGAGAUGAUAAUGAGUUCGAUGAUUGACAAAAAGAAAAGAAAAAAAAAACGUCAAUGAAAAUGUUGGGUCAUAGCCGUCUAUAUAGGAGCAAAAAAAAAUCCGCCAAAUAAAAUUAAACAAUGAUAGAGAAUUAUCAAAAAUAAAAAAUAUCAAAAUGGAUUGAUCUUUAAAUCAUAUAUUUAAAUAAAAGUUAAACAAUGAUAAAUAAUUAUCAAAAAUAAAAAUAAAAAUUAUCAAAAUGGAUUGAUCUUUAAAUCAUAUUAUUUAAAUAAAAUUUGAAUAAUGAUAGAGAAUUAUCAAAAAUAAAAAAAAAAUUAUCAAAAUGGAUUGAUCUUUAAAUCACAUAUUUAAAUAAAAGUUGAACAAUGAUAGAGAAUUAUCAAAAUGGAUUGAUCUUUAAAUCAUAUAUUUAAAUAAAAGUUGAACAAUGAUAGAGAAUUAUCAAAAACUAAAAAUAAAAAUAAAAAUUAUCAAAACGGAUUGAUCUUUAAAUCAUAUAUUUAAAUAAACAUUAAAAUAAAGAAAAAUACACAAAAUUAUAAAGCCCUCCCCCAUUUGUGCUCCGACAGAUUGAGUCUCCAGCAGGAUCAUGAUGGACAGACAGUAUAUGCGGGUUGAUGAGAUGCCGAAUGCGACCGGUGGUGGUAUCCAUCUUCUGGACUCCUUGGAAGUUCCAAGAUUGGGUUGAGAGUGUGUUCAGCGUUAGCUGCAUCCACAAGGUAAUAUAGCAUUUUUUGCUUUACUUUUUUCCUUCUUGGCUUUGUGUUUGAGGGAAACAAAGUGAUGGGUGGAGACUUCCCUGUGGCCCUUGCUUGCGAGGCUUGGGUCCCUGUCGCUGGAUGACCCUGGAUCAUCCUCCUCGAGCAGGAAGCCCUCUGUAUCUCCCAUGGCAGCGUCGGCAGCUCUUUGACAGGCUUCUUCCACUUUAUCGAUCAGGCGGCAGAACUGAUCUUCCUUGGAAGGUCGAUCAGUUGCCUGGGGGAGAGGGGCCUUUGCGGGGAACAUGAAAGCGGCACCGGAGGUAUCAGCAGGGAAAUCAGGUGGAGGGUCUGUGAGGAUAACGAAGAGGUUUGUUAUGGGACUGAGAUGGGGUGAGGGAAGAUAGGGUUUUGAAGGAGCGGUGGGGAACGAAAAGGGUGAGGGGUGAGGGAUUCGGAAUGGAAAGAGUUCAAACGAAGGGUUGCCUUGGGAGAGAAGAAGAUACGAUCGGCUGAGAUUUGAUUUGGCACAUCCGAAGAGAUCGAUGCAGAAUGGGCAACUGCCGGACGCGAGAUGCCAGGAUUCACUGCAGUCUGCACGGCUCCAGAGGCCGGAGCGACGGUUUGGGGACUCCGUCCACAGCACGAAGUCUGUGCCUCUACUAUGGUGAUGGGUUAUGAUCAUUCUAAUGGGGGCGGUUAUCAAUCUUGGGUCUUUUUCUGAACUUUGAUCCUACAGUAGUAGUGUUGGGGACGGAAGAAUGCAUCGGUAUUCCAGUGUUUUUGUUUGCCAGAGCUUUAUUCGUUGGAGCCAUUCUCGUCGGAAGAGAAAAAGAAUAGCUUUUCGAUGCAGGCCGUGAUCUGAAAGAGGAUUUUGGGGCUCAUUAGUUUGAUCGGAAGCCCAAAAAGUUGGGAGCCGAGGUAGGGGUAAACGUCAUUAGGGGCUCAAAGCGUUCACGCCAUGGGAAUAAGUUGAGCACCUGACUUCUAUCCAAGGAACCAUGGAUUGAAAGAGAAAGCACAAGAGUCCUCCUGCAAGAUCCAUAAUCUGAAUUUUGGCUCCUAGUUUUUUCCACAGGGACGACAACUUGGUUUUGAUUACUUUCACAAGUGAAGCUCAUCUAAAAAACUUUUCGUAUAGACAUAACUUGUAAUUGUCCCUCACAUGUUGCACCUCUGCUCGUUCGAGGAUUGCAACAUAGCGGGAAGACCUCCGGAUCUUAGCAAUCUUAGCCACAAGUUUCGCAUCAAAGUUUCAAGGGUCGAUGGAUGAUGACUACCGAAAGUGGCUUGCUCAUGAAGAGGGAGGUUUAGGGGAGAGGCUGGCUGGCUGGCUGCUGCGGACGUGAGCAAGCCACUUUAGGUAUUGAAGUGGUGGGGGAGGACGUUUCGAUGGCCAGCUAAGAGCCUAUUCUCUCGUGAUAACAACCUCAACAACAGUCAAAUCUUUCAAACUACUUGUAUUUCAUUUCUAUCGUGGUAUCAUAGCGAUAAUCCUACAGCCAUCGUUGUUGCUGCCACCCUUCAUCCGCUGCAUCUUCCUUCCCUUCCGGAAGGAGAACGACGACGAGGACCAAAUAGAUCCUCUUCUGCUCCCGUGAAGGGGACGGGAGCGGGAAGCGGUUCUGCGACUGUGGGAAGUUCGCGGCGGAGAUCUGCGACCCCUGGUGCCACGUCCGGGUGUGGCUCGGCACGUUCAACACCACCGAGGAGGUCGUCAAGGUGUACGACUCUAUCGCCAUCCAGCUCCGCGGGCCCAGCGCCACCACUAACUUCUCUCGGUCGACCGCCGCCGUCGCCCCGCCACCCAAGAAGAACCGCUCCGACAACAACCUCGCCUCCAUCUCGGACGUGUGCGACUCCAGCGAUGAGUCGUGCAACCUCUCCUCCUUGACGUCUGUCCUCUGUUGCUCCUUCUCUGCUGAUCUUCUGCCAGCCGACGGACUUCAAGCCACCGCAGCCACCCAUCCAAACUCUCCUUUCAACCCUUCUUUCCCCUUCGCCGGCCUCCUCGAUCUCACCUGCGAUUGCGUAGAAAUUCGUAGGCAGAAAACCAUUGCUGAUCGGCCGCUCUACGCUCGCAGCAUCGCCAGCUUCUCCCAAAGUGGGAUUGAGCCCGCUGCAUCACUGGCUUCUCUCAAAGUGGGACUGUGCCCAGAGCAUCGUCGGCUUCUCCUAAAACUACAACCUGUAGCUUCUCCCAAAACUGCAAGCUGUAGCAUCUCACAGAACUGCAAUCUGCAACACGUUUUGCGACGGUGGUGCCCUUACUGCAUCGUUGGCAAGUGAUUGGUACAGGAGGCCUCCUCGCAGGCUUCUCCCAAAGUGGGACUGCACUCGCAGUAUCACCGGCUUCUCCCAAAGUGGGACUGCGCCCGUAGCAUCAUUGGCUUCUCCCAAAACUGCAAGCUGCAGCAUCUCAUAGAACUGCAAGCUGCAACACAUUCAGCGACGGUGGUGUCGUUGCUGCUGUAGUCGUUGUUGCUUGCAGCAGCAUCAACAACUACAGCUGCAUCGUUGGCAAGUGAUCGGUACACGAGGCCUCCUCGCAACAGAUUUUCCUCCAAGGAAGAAACUCCCACCUUCCUCCGCCCAACAUGUCCUCAUCAUCUACAUCUGAUGCUCUAGUUAUUGUUCCCACAUGAAGCCACAGUACCUUUUCCUCUACAGGCCUUAUUUCUAUCAAUGCUGUAACUUUCAUCCCCUUCAAGUUAUCCAAAGGUGGCAACUACGUAUCUUAGCGUGCUCAAUUUUUUAAUCUCUUAUUUGGUUAUGAUAUAUUAAGCUAUGUCGAUGGCUCUC